AUUGAACGCUGGCGGCAUGCCUAACACAUGCAAGUCGCACGCGAAAGGGGGCAACCCCGAGUAGAGUGGCGGACGGGUGCGUAAUACGUAGGAAUCUACCUGAUAGUGGGGGACGAACCCGGCGAAAGCCGGGCUAAUACCGCAUACGACCUAUGGGUGAAAGCCGGGGACCGCAAGGCCUGGCGCUAUUAGAUGAGCCUGCGUCGGAUUAGCUAGUUGGUGAGGUAAAGGCUACCAAGGCGACGAUCCGUAGCUGGUCUGAGAGGACGACCAGCCACACUGGGACUGAGACACGGCCCAGACUCCUACGGGAGGCAGCAGUGGGGAAUAAUUGGACAAUGGGGGCAACCCUGAUCCAGCAAUGCCGCGUGUGU
rnacentral:rRNA from 1 species